rnacentral:rRNA from 1 species
UACAGAGGGUGCGAGCGUUGUCCGGAAUCACUGGGCGUAAAGGGCGCGUAGGCGGCUCAGUAAGCGUGCGGUGAAAGCCCGGGGCUCAACCCCGGGUCGGCCGUGCGAACUGCAGAGCUGGAGCACUGUAGAGGCAGGUGGAAUUCCGGGUGUAGCGGUGGAAUGCGUAGAGAUCCGGAAGAACACCGGUGGCGAAGGCGGCCUGCUGGGCAGUGGCUGACGCUGAGGCGCGACAGCGUGGGGGAGCAAACAGG